UCUGCUCAAUGAAUAAUUUUAAAUAGCUGCAGUAUAAAUAACUGUACAAAGGUAGCAUAAUAAUUUGUUUUUUAAUUGAAAACUAGAAUGAAUGAUUAAAUGAAAUAUAAACUAUAUCAAAUUUAAAAAAUAAAUUUAUUAUUUAAAUAAAAAAAUUUAAAUAAUUUUUAAAGACGAGAAGACCCUAAAGAAUUUUAAUAAUAAAUUAUAAUAUAAAUUUAAAAUUUAUUAUAUUAAUUGGGGAAAUUUUAAAAUUUAAAAAAUUUUUAAUUAGAUAAACAUAAAUUUUUGAAUAUUUAAAAUUUUUUAAAAAAUUAAAUUAAAUUACCUUAGGGAUAACAGCAUAAUUUUUUUAAAAAGUUCAAAUUUAUAAAAAAGUUUAUGACCUCGAUGUUGAAUUAAGAUUAAAUUUAAUAGAAAAAUAUUGAAAAUUUAAGUCUGUUCGACUUUUAAAAUCUUACAUGAU
rnacentral:rRNA from 1 species